GAUGAAGAACGCAGCGAAAUGCGAUAAGUAAUGUAAAUUGCAGAAUUCAGUGAAUCAUCGAAUCUUUGAACGCACAUUGCGCCCGCCAGUAUUCUGGCGGGCAUGCCUGUCCGAGCGUCAUUUCAACCCUCGAACCCCUCCGGGGGGUCGGCGUUGGGGAUCGGCCCUUUACCGGCCGGCCCCGAAAUACAGUGGCGGUCUCGCCGCAGCCUCUCCUGCGCAGUAGUUUGCACACUCGCACCGGGAGCGCGGCGCAGUCCAAUGCCGUAAAACACCCAACUUUCUGAAAUGUUGACCUCGGAUCAGGUAGGAAUACCCGCUGAACUUAAGCAUAUCAAUAAGCGGAGGA
rnacentral:misc_RNA from 1 species